rnacentral:rRNA from 1 species
GAGUUUGAUUAUUGCUCAGAUUGAACGCUGGCGGCAGGCUUAACACAUGCAAGUCGAGCGGUAACAGGGGGUGCUUGCACCCCGCUGACGAGCGGCGGACGGGUGAGUAAUGCAUAGGAAACUGCCCAGUAGUGGGGGAUAGCCCGGGGAAACCCGGAUUAAUACCGCGUACGCCCUUCGGGGGAAAGCAGGGGAUCUUCGGACCUUGCGCUAUUGGAUGUGCCUAUGUCGGAUUAGCUAGUUGGUGGGGUAAAGGCCUACCAAGGUUACGAUCCGUAGCUGGUCUGAGAGGAUGAUCAGCCACAUCGGGAGUGAGACACGGCCCGAACUCCUACGGGAGGCAGCAGUGGGGAAUAUUGGACAAUGGGGGCAACCCUGAUCCAGCCAUGCCGCGUGUGUGAAGAAGGCUUUCGGGUUGUAAAGCACUUUCAGUGAGGAGGAAAAGUUGGUCGUUAAUACCGGCCAGCCUGGACGUUACUCACAGAAGAAGCACCGGCUAACUCCGUGCCAGCCGCC